rnacentral:rRNA from 1 species
AGUGAACGCUGGCGGUAGGCCUAACACAUGCAGGUCGAACGGCAGCACAGUAAGAGCUUGCUCUUACGGGUGGCGAGUGGCGGACGGGUGAGGAAUACAUCGGAAUCUACUUUUUCGUGGGGGAUAACGUAGGGAAACUUACGCUAAUACCGCAUACGACCUACGGGUGAAAGCAGGGGAUCUUCGGACCUUGCGCGAUUGAAUGAGCCGAUGUCGGAUUAGCUAGUUGGCGAGGUAAAGGCCCACCAAGGCGACGAUCCGUAGCUGGUCUGAGAGGAUGAUCAGCCACACUGGAACUGAGACACGGUCCAGACUCCUACGGGAGGCAGCAGUGGGGAAUAUUGGACAAUGGGCGCAAGCCUGAUCCAGCCAUACCGCGUGGGUGAAGAAGGCCUUCGGGUUGUAAAGCCCUUUUGUUGGGAAAGAAAAGCAGCAGGUUAAUACCCCGCUGUUCUGACGGUACCCAAAGAAUAAGCACCGGCUAACUUCGUG